rnacentral:pre_miRNA from 1 species
UUAACUCAAGUUUGUAUGCAGUUGGAACAGCGCCCCUAGCGGCAAACGCAGGCAAGCGUUCCAACUCCAUACAAAUUAGAGUUA